UACGUAGGGUGCGAGCGUUAAUCGGAAUUACUGGGCGUAAAGGGUGCACAGGCGGUUUUGUAAGCCAGAUGUGAAAUCCCCGGGCUCAACCUGGGAAUGGCAUUUGGGACUGCAAGGCUAGAGUGUGGCAGAGGAGACUGGAAUUCCCGGUGUAGCAGUGAAAUGCGCAGAUAUCAGGAGGAACACCGAUGGCGAAGGCAGGUCUCUGGGCAUUAACUGACGCUGAGGAGCGAAAGCAUGGGGAGCGAACAGG
rnacentral:rRNA from 1 species